AACAAAACAAAACAAAGAGGCUUAUAUUAAAAAAUUAGCUUUGCAAUUACAAGCUUCUGUAUCUGUCCAUAAAAUUCGAAAAAUGAUCUCUGAAAACCAAAAUGACAUCAUUUUUAGGUUGAAGUUGGUUCAAAACUUGAUUGGUACUGUGUUAUAGGAAAAGACCAAAACAUAGGGAUGUUUAAAAUUUAUUUUUUAUUUUUAUUUUUUUAAAAAAAAAGAGAAAAGAAAAUCACAUCAAUAGAGAUCGAAUUCAUAAUAUAUAAAUGCGGCUAAUAAAGUAGGGAGUAAGAUAAAUAGUAAUAGCAGGCAAUAAGUUUGGUUCUUUUGUAGGGGAGAAGCAAAGAAAAGCUUAGAGGGCGGGUCCAUUGUGCUUGUUUUGUACUCCAGGGAAGGAAAGGAACAAGAGGUCGUUUAAUGAUAUCGAGCAUUCAGAUCAAGCAAUCAAAAUUAAUUUUAUAUAUACUUUCGUAAAUUUGGUUAGGGUGCACAUAGAGGACCAAUCAAUGUCCAUGAUAGAUCUUGUAGAUUGGCUGAGGUCCAUGUAAGGAGAGGAUGUCUUUUUGUUUGUCCACUUCUUGCUUAAAUUAGGCUUCUUUUGUAUACAUCGUGUGUACUUUGGUGUGUUUACUCUUAGGUGAUAGUAAUUCAAAUUCUCAUUUGCCUAUCAAAACAUAAAAAGGUUUUCGGCCCAAAAGUGCCACACCUGAGUCCAACAUGUCUAAAUCCUUUUUUUUUUUUUUUUUGAUAGGCAAAGGUUUGUAUUAAGAAGCACCAAAAAACAAAGGGCGCACU
rnacentral:lncRNA from 1 species